UUGUGCUGAGAACAAAGGUAUUACCCAUGAUGCAGUAAGAUCAUACUUUCGCCACACACUUGAUUUGACAUCCUUAAAGAAUGGUCGGAAGGUCUUUCUUUGGACCGUAAUGUAAGCUUUUGGAUAGGGUUAGAAAUAAAGGGUGGCAUGAAAGCUAAAAUUAAUAUAAGAUGAAAGGGUUCAAAAUUACAACUUUUGGAAUCACAUCUUUUGGCCAAAUUAAAAAUUUUGCCCCAGUUUCUUGGAGUCUGGGAUUUUUUUUUUAAUUUUUGCUUUAAUGAGAUUUCUAGGAAAAAUUGCCUCGCUCUUGACUUCGGGGAUUAUAAAAUAUUUUAUUUGGUGUGACCGUCUUGAAACACGGACCAAGGAGUCUGACAUAUGUGUGAGUCAACGGGCGAGUAAACUCGUAAGGCGUAAGGAAGCUGAUUGGUAGGAUUCCCCUGAGGGGUGCACCCCCGACCGACCUUGAUCUUCGGUGAAGGGUUCGAGUUUGAGCAUACCUGUCGGGACCCGAAAGAUGGUGAACUAUGCCUGAGCGGGGAAAAGCCAGAGGAAACUCUGGUGUAGGCUCACAGCGAUACUGACGUGCAAAUCGUUCGUCUGACUUGGGUAUAGGGGAGAAAGACUAAUCGAACCGUCUAGUAGUUGGUUCCCUCCGAAAAUUCCCUCAGGAUAGCUGAGCACGCAUGCGAGUUCUAUCAGGUAAAGCAAAUGAUUAGAGUCUUCGGGGGCGCAACGCCCUCGACCUAUUCUCAAACUUUAAACAGGUAGGACGGCGCGACUGCUUUGUUGAGCCGUGCCAUGGAAUCAAGAGCUCAUAGUGGGCCAUUUUUGGUAAGCAGAACUGGCGAUGCAGGAUGAACCGGAAGCCGAGUUACGGUGCCAAACUAUGCGGUAACCUAGAUCCCACAAAGGGUGUUGGUCAAUUAAGACAGCAAAACGGUGGACAUGGAAGUCGAAAUCCGCUAAGGAGUGUGUAACAACUCACCUGCCGAAUCAACUAGCCCCGAAAAUGGAUGGCGCUUAAGCGCGCGACCUACACCCGGCCGUCGGGGCAAGUGCCAGGCCCCGAUGAGUAGGAGGGCGAAGCGGUUGCUGCAAAACCUUGGGUGUGAGCCUAGGUGGAGUGGUCGUCGGUGCAGAUCUUGGUGGUAGUAACAAAUAUUCAAAUGCAAACUUUGAAGGCAGAAGAGGGGAAAAGUUCCAUGUGAACGACACUUGCACAUGGGUUAGUCGAUCCUAAGGGUCGGGGGAACCAUGAUAGAUAGUGAAUUUCACGCGUACUCCGAAAGGGAAUCGGGUUAAAAUUCCUGAACCAGGACGUGGAAAUUGACGACAACGUUAGGAAGUCCGGAGACGUUAGUGGGGGCCUCGGGAAGCGUUGUCUUUUUUGUUUAACAUCCUGCCCACCUUGGAAACGACUUAGGAGGUAGGGUCCAGCGACUGGAAGAGCACCGUACGUUGCGUGGUGUCCGGUGCGCCCCCGACGGCCCUUGAAAAUCUAGAGGACCGAAUGUCGUCCAUGCUCGGUCAUACUCAUAACCGCAUCAGGUCUCUAAGGUGAACAGUCUCUGGUUGAUGGAACAAUGUAGGCAAGGGAAGUCGGCAAAACGGAUCCAAAACUUCGGGAAAAAGGAUUGGCUCUAAGGGCUAGGCACGGGGGUCCCAGUCCCGAACCCAUCGACUGUCAGUGGACUGCUCGAGCUGCUCCUGCGGCAAUAGCAGGUCACCGUGUGCCGUCCGAGGGAUAGACUGGGAACUGUUCCUUGGGGGGCUAUCCCCGGGCAUCGAAUAACCGAUAAGAGAUAUCUUAUCGAUUUGGCUAUCGGGUUAUCAUAUUUGUAAAUCAAUAACCGAUACGCAAAACCGAUAACAUUCACAACCGAACUGAAUUGACCGAUGCCCACCCCUACAUCCUAUCAUUGUGAAGAAGAAUUCACCAAGUGUUGGAUUGUUCACCCACUAAUGGGGAACAUGAGCUGGGUUUAGACCGUUAUGAGACAAGUUAGUUUUACCCUACUGAUGACAGUGUCGUAAUAGUAAUUCAACAUAGUACGAUAGGAACCAUUGAUUCGCACAAUCGGUCAUCGUGCUUGGUUGAAAAGCCAGUGGCGCGAACCUACCAUGCGCUGGAUUAUGACUGAAUGCCUAUAAGUCAGAAUCCGAGCUAGAAGCGACGCAUGCACCCGCCUUCCACUUGCCAACCCGCAGUAGGGGCCUUUGGCCCCCAAGGGCACGUGUCGUUGGCUAAGUCAUCGCGGCGGAAGAGCCGCGGUGGCCGCCUUGAAGUACAAUUUCCAUCGAGCGGUGGGUAGAAUCCUUUGCAGAUGACUUAAAUACGCGAUGGGGUAUUGUAAGUGGCAGAGUGGCCUUGCUUCCACGAUCCACGGGUUUACUCACCCAUUGACUCGCACACAUGUCUGCCUACGUAUCUUGAGGUGACAAGAAUCAGGUCGAACGUAGUUCAAACACAAAGUUGGUUUCUUUUCCUUUUUUUCCUUCUUUCUUUUUUCUUUUCUAGUUCCUAACUCUACUUCUGAUUCCAAAAGUGGGGUAUGGAACAAAACAAAUUAAGGCUCAAAAGGGGUAGCAAAAGAUAAAAGUGUUUGGGUAGCAGAAUAAAAUUCCUUCGUCAUACCAAACUUUACAAAUGCCAAGUACAAACGUGUAAUUGAAGAUACACAAAGAAAUCAUGCACAAUAUCUAUU
rnacentral:rRNA from 1 species